GUUAGGUUAGAGGGUGAAUAGGUCAGGUUAGAGGGUGAAUAGGUCAGGUUAGAGGGUGAAUAGGUUAGAGGGUGAAUAGGUCAGGUUAGAGGGUGAAUAGGUCAGGUUAGAGGGUGAAUAGGUUAGAGGGUGAAUAGGUUAGGUUAGAGGGUGAAUAGGUUAGGUUAGAGGGUGAAUAGGUCAGGUUAGAGGGUGAAUAGGUUAGGUUAGAGGGUGAAUAGGUUAGGUUAGGGAGGGUGAAUAGGUCAGGUUAGAGGGUGAAUAGGUCAGGUUAGAGGGUGAAUAGGUCAGGUUAGAGGGUGAAUAGGUCAGGUUAGAGGGUGAAUAGGUCAGGUUAGAGGGUGAAUAGGUUAGGUUAGGGAGGGUGAAUAGGUUAGGUUAGGGGGUGAAUAGGUCAGGUUAGAGGGUGAAUAGGUCAGGUUAGAGGGUGAAUAGGUCAGGUUAGAGGGUGAAUAGGUCAGGUUAGAGGGUGAAUAGGUUAGAGGGUGAAUAGAGAGAGAUGUGUUGAGAUGGUUUGUCUGGUAGCAGCGCCGGAAAAACCCCAUUGUCAUACUUGAGUAAAAGGAAAGAUACCUUCAUAGAUCUGAUGUGGAGGGUUAAUGAUCAGACUGGGUUCUGAUGUGGA
ensembl:lncRNA